rnacentral:lncRNA from 8 species
GGAAAUAUUCUAGAAGAAAACAUAAUUGCCUAUGUUUAGAUUCAAGUGGUGAUUGAAUAAACCUGAGCUCUACCAUCAUCAUCCCUAUAUAUUACAGAUUGUUUCUCCAAUCUGAAAUUGUCCUGACACUUCAUUCUAAGCUCUAGUCAUGGAACUAUCAUACACCUCUCCCAGAGGAUAAUAUUUAUGGACUAAGAAUAAAUGUGUGAAAGCAGCUUUAGCAUCAAUGCCAUUUUUAUGAGUGUGAAGAUCAAUUGCAAGUCUUUCCACAGCUUUUGUCACAUGCAAAUCUAUCUCUGUUGCUGCUUUAGACUGGAACAACCCCACACCACCACCCCACUAUAUCCUCACACCACCACCCCACUAUAUCCCCACCCCACUAUAUCGCCAUACCACCACCCCACUAUAUCCCCACCCCACUAUAUCCCCAUACCACCACCCCACUAUAUCCCCACCCCACUAUAUCCCCACACCACCACCCCACUAUAUCCUCACACCACCACCCCACUAUAUCCUCGCACCACCACCCCACUAUAUCCCCGCACCACCACCCCGCUAUAUCCCCGCACCACCACCCCGCUAUAUCCCCACACCACCACCCCGCUAUAUCCCCACACCACCACCCCACUAUAUCCCCACACCACUAUAUCGCCAUACCACCACCCCACUAUAUCCCCACCCCACUAUAUCGCCACACCACCCCCCCGCUAUAUCCCCCCACCACCACCCCGUUAUAUCCUCACACCACCACCCCGUUAUAUCCCCGCACCACCACCCCGCUAUAUCCUCGCACCACCACUCCGCUAUAUCCUCACACCACCACCCCGUUAUAUCCCCGCACCACCACCCCGUUAUAUCCCCGCACCACCACCACCCCACUAUAUCCCCGCACCACCACUAUAUCCCCGCACCACCACCCCACUAUAUCCCUGCACCACCACCCCGCUAUAUCCUCGCACCACCACCCCACUAUAUCCCCGCACCACCACCCCACUAUAUCCCCGCACCACCACCCCACUAUAUCCCCGCACCACCACCCCACUAUAUCCCACACCACCACCC